rnacentral:rRNA from 1 species
UGGCAGGCUAGAUCUGUAGAGGGCUAGAAUUCAGGGUAGCGGUGAAUGCGUAGAGAUUCUGAUGAUACCAGUGGCGAAAGCGUCCCUGACAAAAAGACUGACGUCAGAUGCGAAAGCGUGGGUAGCAAACAGGAUUAGAUACCUGGUAGUCACGCCGUAAACGCUGUCUACUUGGAAGGUUGAGGGUUUUAGACUUUGGGCUUUCGGCGCUAACGCAUUUAAGUAGACCGCCUGGGGAGUACGGCCGCAAGGGUUAAAACUCAAAUGAAUUGACGGGGGCCCGCACAAGCGGUGGAGCAUGUGGUUUAAUUCGAUGCAACGCGAAGAACCUUACCUACUCUUGACAUCCAGCGAAGCCUUUAGAGAUAGAGGCGUGCCUUCGGGAGCGCUGAGACAGGUGCUGCAUGGCUGUCGUCAGCUCGUGUUGUGAAAUGUUGGGUUAAGUCCCGCAACGAGCGCAACCCUUAUCCUUGUUUGCCAGCACGUAAUGGUGGGAACUCCAGGGAGACUGCCGGUGAUAAACCGGAGGAAGGUGGGGACGACGUCAAGUCAUCAUGGCCCUUACGAGUAGGGCUACACACGUGCUACAAUGGCAGAUACAGAGGGCAGCGAGACAGCGAUGUUUAGCGAAUCCCUUAAAGUUUGUCGUAGUCCGGAUUGGAGUCUGCAACUCGACUCCAUGAAGUCGGAAUCGCUAGUAAUCGUGGAUCAGAAUGCCACGGUGAAUACGUUCCCGGGCCUUGUACACACCGCCCGUCACACCAUGGGAGUGGGCUGCACCAGAAGUAGAUAGCUUAACCUUCGGGAGGGCGUUUACCACGGUGUGGUCAUGAC